GUACUUCCAAAUUACAUAUACUAAAAUUGGAACGAUACAGAGAAGGUUAGCAUGGCCCCUGCACAAGGAAUAAAAAAUAUUGCUUCAUAAGUUGUCUCGUUAA